rnacentral:lncRNA from 1 species
CAAAUUAAAAAAGAGUAGGGAGAUGGAUGAAUAGCCAGCAAAGCAGCUAGAAGAGAUGACGAUCGAGGUAAUAAGGUGUAACCGACCGGCGGUCAUGGCGGCCCCGACUUGGAUGAAGACGAAGAGGAAGGUGAGGACGAGCUCGCCGAGGACGCCGCGGAAGAAGUCCGGCUCCGACGCCUCGCCGCGGUGGCCCAGCGCAACCUUCCCCAUCCUCGCUUAUCCCUCCGGAAAUAAGGCUAACCGAUAGAUCGAUGGAUGGAUCACCACAAGCUAGCUAAGCUAAGGUGAUGGAACAGUAGCAUUAUUAUAUUGUGACAGAAAUUAAAGCUAGUGUUGCAUAUGUAUAUAUAUAGGAAAGAGGAAGAUAUAUAAGUAUAUAUAUUAUUUCGCAAGUCAAAAAGUUUCUUGCAUUAUUGGCAAAUGAAUUACUUUACUUUGGCCGGGCGGCCAGAGGAAUUGUACGGCGGCAACAUGUGGUGCAACAGUACUGCUCUAGCUCUGUCGUCAUGUCGCCGUACGUUCAUGGCGGUUGAUCGAUCCAUGGAUGGAUGGACUCACACUUCAACUGAUUUGCUUGGAAGGCACCAACGACCCAACCUACGAUGCACAUGAUCCAACAACCAUGCAUCUUCACUUUUUUUGUUGCGGUCUACAGGAAGCACCACUUUCGGGCCUCGCUACUCUAUGCCGGCCUCCGCACUACCCCGACACUAUAGUGCUGCACUGUACUCCUUCCUUUCUUUCUGUAUAUUGUGUGCAGGUACACGCUACACACACACAUAUGCUGUCGUUCAUCGUGCAUGUAAUUAUUCUGCCCUCUGUGCUUUUAUCACUUUGUCUCCUUGUCAGUUCAGUAACUUUUAAUAAGUAACAAAUUAGCAUAAUACGUUUGAGGAAUGGAUCAUUUCAGCUCCUCUAAAUUCAUAAUUUUUACUACGCAUCUAAACAUACUACUAUCAGAAGGAGUUAUUAGCAAGGCUUUCGACUUUGCACGUCCAAAUCAGAUCCACUCCUAAGUCCGUCCCACGAUAUGAUAAACAUAAUCAAAUACUACAAGCAAAUAACAACCUUAUCUGUCGCAUGGAAUGGAAGUCGCCCUCUCUAAAAAUAUCAGCCUACACGACAGAACCGAACACUUGGACCUGAAAGCUUACCGGCUGCCUUGGUCGCCGUACGUGUCGAUCUCCCACACGAUCCAUCUCGCCGUCGCCGAUAGAGCAAGUAUACACGCCAUCUCCGCCUCGUCACCACUCAACACAGAAUUGAUGCACGCACAUCAACUAUUCAGCUUUUCCGGUUUCUUAUGUUCCUAUAUUUCCAAAGGCGGAGCUUGACCAAAAGUUCAUUGAAAGCAUUGACCAUCGGUAAAUAGUACCAAUAUUACUGUUCGAAGUUUAGGCCCGUUUGGUAGAGCUACAGCUCCUGCUAAAAUGGCUUAGGCUCCGGCUCCUUUGGUGGAGUGACUUUUCUAGUAUAGUUGAAAUCGUUUUGCAAAACAUUUGGUAAAAAGGCUUCUCAAUGACAAUAUGGGUAAUUUUACGAUCACUUAAUAUUUGGAGAGAGAGAGAGGAAAAGCUAGUGAAGCUACUAUUUUGUGGCUUUUCCUUGACUUCGAUAGUGGAGCUGUUUUGAAAUUGCCCAUUUGGCAGGACUUCACCAAAAACUGGUGGAGAAGCACUUUAAUAAGAAACCCUACCUACCAAAGGGGCCUUACACUGGGUAACUUAAAGGCAGAUACUUUAGUAUUUUUAUUUAACUUAUUUUUUAAGAAGGCACAUAUAGGUAAUUAAAAGAAUGCAUUGCUGGUACUUUGGGUUCAUUUUUUAUAAAAACAUGCGUGUAACUAAAAAUCUUAUAUUGAGGGAUAUUUUAGUUUAUUUCCUUCAUAAUAGCAAAACGGAAUAAACUAAACUAUUAGUAAGAAUUCUGCUUUUUUUUCAAAAAAAUCCUAACCUUAUUUUUCAUUUUCAAGAGAGUAUAAUUUGAGAAGCAAUGUGGCGGCUCUAGGAAGAACAUACUAUUGUUAGAAAAGAAUACGCAAUUAGUAAAAGUAAGAUAUAUAACGUCUAAGAAAGCUACAACAAGUUGUCAAUGAGGUGGAUUAACAAGACUUGAUGAAGUCGAGCCGGGAUUAUUAUAUUGCAGAACACCCAAAUCAACCUCUCGUGACAUGUAUUCUUAAUCCUCGGCAAAAAAAAAAUAUACACGCUAAAUUUUUUUGGCGUGUAUAUUCUUAAUCCUCGGCAAAAAAAAAUAUACACGCUAAAUAUACGUUACAUGAGAUCCGCCUUAUUUUUCAUUUUCAAGAGAGUACAAUUUGAGAAGCAAUGUGGCGGCUCUAUGAAGAACAUACUAAUGUUAGAAAAGAAUAUGCAAUUAGUAAAAGUAAGAUAUAUAAUGUCUAAGAUAUAUAAUGUGGAUUAACAAGACUUGAUGAAGUCGAGCCGGGAUUAUUAUAUUGCAGAACACCCAAAUCAAACCUCUCGUGACAUGUAUUCUUAAUCCUCGGCAAAAAAAAUAAUAUACACGCUAAAUAUGCGUUACAUGAGAUCCCACAAGCAAAUACGACCUCGAUGCCGAUCGACAGAACUGAUGCUGGUUGAACCGACGACGAUGAUGCAGUGCAAGUUGAUCUCCGUGUCGGGUCGUUUGGUGAAGUCAGUGCAAAUAUCCGUGGGUUUGACAGAAAUUCAGCUGGAUUUAGUUUGGCUUUGCCCAUCUCGCUCGCACGGCCUUUCGUGACUUCGCUGUCCAUUUUUUUUCUGACAAUAUAUUAAUAGGUGGACUUUAAAAUAAGAUGGAACCCGAUGGCUCAACUGCAAAUUAAAGCUUUGGCUUUGAUUUUUAGCAAGCAACAUAUGUCUUUGGUGCUUACUACGACAUAUCACCACAAUCUUUAUUUGUUAGCAACGAACAGAUAUACUCCCUCCAUUCUAAAUUGUAAGUCAUUUAAUUUUCUUGAAAAAUCAAAUUAUUUUAUGUUUAAUCAAAAUUAUAGAGAGGAUCAAAAAAUGUAUGGCACCGAAUAGAUAUACCAUGAAAAUAUAUUUAAUGAAGAAACUAAUGGUACUAAUUGGUAUUAUGAAUGUUAGUAUUUUAUCGUAUAAAUUUGGUCAAACUUGAGAUGUUUUGACUUUCCAAGAAACUUGGAAUAACUUACAAUUUGAAACGGAGGGAAUAGUAUUUAGUGUGUGCCCCUUUUCCCCCGAGAGAGAAGAAGGGACGCAGACAGCUCCGUCAACCGACUGCAUUUGAGCAACUGGAUCAAAGCUGAAGUGAACAUAUGCUCAAAUGCAUGCAGUGGGCUUCAAUUAAUAAUUAUUCAAUGAAAUCGCCGCUUCAUUCUCUCUAAAAGAACCCUGUGUUUUUAGAGAAUUGCGGGUGGCACGAUGCGUGCAGCAGCUAUUGCAAUGCUCAAGAUCAACUAGGAGCAGCCUCACUUGAAAAAAAGAACUAGGAGCAGCCGUGUGUGUUGCACAACACGACAUCUAGAGCGCGAUACAAGCUGUGUGGCUGACCCACCCAUAGCUGGAAGCCUGUUGCCUACUGAUGGACGACCUGGACAUCCAAGCAGGGAUUCAGAGAUUCAGAGAUAGUACUGUGUAUUGAAAUGAAACUUAUCAUUGGGAUUGGCCUUAGGUCUCCGGACUUCAGCAUAUAAGCGGGAGACCAAAAUAAGUUUAAUGACACAUUUGUUUCUGUUUAUCUUUUUCUAAUGAAAUAUUCAAGGUGUGGGUGUGUCUUAGACACAUGCUGGAUCCAAUUUGUCAAUGAUAAUUAUUAUCCACCAAAUUUUUAAUUAGUUAGACCUUUUGAUUGUUUGAGAAUUCCUUAUUUUAUUUUCUAGCGCAUGCAUUGUCAUCUAAUAAGAAUUAAUGUUGAAGUUUCAAAGACAAUCUCCAACUAUUAUUAGUACUAGCAAGCCCGUGCGUUGCUACGGGCACCACAAUAUACCAAAUCUCAAAACCGCAGCGAAAUACAUAAACAUCAGUUUUACUUAAAGGUGUCAAAGAAUCGUAAAUAAAAACACUAAGACACAUGAUGCAGUAAAGGUAAAUGCUCGUGCAUUACAGGGGAAGUAAAACAAUAGCGAGAAAAUAUAAUUGAUGCUAUUUACCUAAUGCAACGUGACAAUUUGACUACUUGAAUCACAAAUAUCUUAAACUAAUAGUAGACUAUAAGAUAAGAUGAAGUAUUCUGCGUAUUGAACAUUGAGCUUCUUACAAAUAUUGCUCAUCUAAUCUCUCAAACAGAUAUAUGAGCGCGUGGUGGCCCAGACCUAAUGGUGAGGAGUGGGGCGCCGCCAUGAUUAAGGCCGCCGAUGGAAGCAGCAGUUGGCAGUGCGCGGAGAUGCCCCUCACAUGGAACCAUUUAAUCACAAUAUAUACAAGCGACAAUUAACUAAUUUCUCGGUCUUGAUGAUACAGCAUAGUAAUUGACACAGUGCAUUGGAAGUACGUUUUAGGAACUUACAUUACACCCAAUCUGACGUGGCACUAUACGAUAGAACAGCAUGAUACAAUGCAUAGCAUGAAAGUACGUAGUCUCAAACCAAACCGAAGAAACAAACCCAAGCUCGCGCAGACGACCUCGGGAAGCAGAUCGAAAGGCGGAUCGGAGCAAGCCCAAACCAAAUCAAAGUUCCUCCAAUGCACGCGUGGCGUUCAUCACGCCUCCUCGGGAAGCAGCUGAUGUGCACCGGCGGGCGCCAUGAAGAGGCACUCGUACACCACCACGGCGAGGGGCCCGCCGGCCAGCGGCCCCACCCAGUACACCCAGUGGUGGGUCCACACGCCCGUGGCCAACGCCGGGCCGAACGACCGCGCCGGGUUCAUGGACGCGCCGGACAGGACGGCGCCGGCGAUGGAGUUGGCGCCGACGAGGAGCCCGGUGAGCAGCGGGCCGACGCCAGGGAGAAUCUUCCGAGGGUCCAGGAUGGUCGCGUAGAUCACGAACAGCAGGCUGAACGUGAAGACGACCUCGGCGACCACGCCCUGAAUGGGCCCCACGCCUGCCGCCAGAGCGUGCACCGGAGUGGCCUGCAUAUAUAGAUCGAUUUGUAUGUACAAUUAUAUACCGGAUAGAUUAACGACGACGACCAUGACUGCUGGCGGCGGCGGCGCCAACGUACCACCAGGCCUCCGGUGAGCCACCGGAGCAGGACGCAGGCCGUGGAGGAGCCGAGCAUCUGGGCGACGAUGUACAGGGCCGACCGGAACAGGGUGAUCUGGCCACCGACGGCCAUCGACAGCGUGACGGCCGGGUUCACGUGGCCGCCGGAGAUGUGGAAGCCCGCCGUCGCGAUCACGCACACCGCCAGCGCCUGCCCCAGCGCCACCGCCGUUAGGUUGCCUCCGGCGUUGGUCUUUCCUGCAGACGCGUAAAUGGCAUGUUGCUUACGUAGCAAUUAAUUGACAUCCUUGAAAACAUAAUAAUAAAUAUGAAAUGCUCUUUAAAAAUAGCCUUAAGAAUUAAGAUCGUGAUGCAUUCGCCUAAGUUAUGAAAGAGGAUGCAUGUGGUGACACCACUAAUUUCACCAUUAAUUUGGUAGCAACGGGUUAGCAGCUGUAGUUUAUUUUUAUCCCACGUCUCAUUGUUUUCAAAUCAAGAUUAAUUCAUUUAAAUGAGUUGUGUGGUCGACCCAAUGAUCCAACAAAUUAAAAAUGUAAUAAGUAUUAUAUAUUGCUCAUACUAAUUACUAAUAAUUGUAAAUUAGUAGCUUCGCUGUGCCGCUGUUAAUACUAUACGUCUGCGCACUGUCAAUACUACGCCUUCCAUUCUGUUAAUAAUUGUCCAUUGAGGAUAUAAAGAGUGUGGUUAUUUUAGUAGCUUUUCACUCACUACCUCUAAACAAAUAAUUUGAAAAGAAAUAGAAGUGGCUGUGUCAUAUUAUUUAAUAGGUUUAUGGAUGAUCAUUUCGCAUGGACUUGAAACUCUCUCGAGCUGCCUAUGUAGCUGCAUACCGUCGAUUGUCAUGGCGGCGCCGACUUGGAUGAAGACGAAGAGGAAGGUGAGGACGAGCUCGCCGAGGACGCCGCGGAAGAAGUCCGGCUCCGACGCCUCGCCGCGGCGACCAAGUGCCAGCUUUCCCAUUGGCAAAUUAAAGGCACACACAAGAGAUAGCAGCUGGUCAGCAGGGGGCGUUGGAGAAUAAGCUA